rnacentral:rRNA from 1 species
UACGUAGGGUGCAAGCGUUGUCCGGAAUUAUUGGGCGUAAAGAGCUCGUAGGCGGUCUGUCGCGUCGGCUGUGAAAACCCGGGGCUCAACCCCGGGCCUGCAGUCGAUACGGGCAGACUAGAGUGCGGUAGGGGAGACUGGAAUUCCUGGUGUAGCGGUGAAAUGCGCAGAUAUCAGGAGGAACACCGGUGGCGAAGGCGGGACUCUGGGCAGUAGCUGACGCUGAGGCGCGACAGCGUGGGGAGCAAACAGG